UGACCCGUGGUGUAACGGUAGCACAAAUGACUCUGGAUCAUUUAGUUUAGGUUCGAAUCCUAACGGGUCAG
rnacentral:tRNA from 1 species